GGACUAGCGCUGCUUUCCCAAGACAGGUUUUUAUGUGUAUGAUCUUCAGGCUUUGCCUAUCCAGGUUGAGCAGCUGAUGGAAUGGAAUGAUGUUGAGCGGGUGUUCUUUUGACAUUUCAAGAAAUGUAACCUUGAGUAUACAUCUUCAUAUGUAUAUCUCACACGUUUUUCCGCUGCAAAACACUUUGAUUAGAAUAACUCUAUGUUAUGAAGUUGUGACACGUGUUAUUGGAUAACCCACCUUAAUCAGUUCUCCUUCAUGUGUAUGUUUUAUAAGUAUCCAAAUGAUCAUA